rnacentral:rRNA from 1 species
GUCCACGCCGUAAACGAUGUCUACUAGCCGUUGGGGAACUUGAUUUCUUAGUGGCGCAGCUAACGCGAUAAGUAGACCGCCUGGGGAGUACGGUCGCAAGAUUAAAACUCAAAUGAAUUGACGGGGGCCCGCACAAGCGGUGGAGCAUGUGGUUUAAUUCGAAGCAACGCGAAGAACCUUACCUACUCUUGACAUCCUGCGAACUUGGUAGAGAUACCUUGGUGCCUUCGGGAACGCAGUGACAGGUGCUGCAUGGCU